rnacentral:rRNA from 1 species
GACGAACGCUGGCGGCGUGCCUAAUACAUGCAAGUCGAACGCACAGUUUAUACCGUAGCUUGCUGCACCAUAAACUGUGAGUUGCGAACGGGUGAGUAACGCGUAGGUAACCUGCCUGGUAGCGGGGGAUAACUAUUGGAAACGAUAGCUAAUACCGCAUAAUAUUAAUUAUUGCAUGAUAAUUGAUUGAAAGAUGCAAUUGCAUCACUACCAGAUGGACCUGCGUUGUAUUAGCUAGUAGGUGAGGUAACGGCUCACCUAGGCGACGAUACAUAGCCGACCUGAGAGGGUGAUCGGCCACACUGGGACUGAGACACGGCCCAGACUCCUACGGGAGGCAGCAGUAGGGAAUCUUCGGCAAUGGACGAAAGUCUGACCGAGCAACGCCGCGUGAGUGAAGAAGGUUUUCGGAUCGUAAAGCUCUGUUGUAAGAGAAGAACGGGUGUGAGAGUGGAAAGUUCACACUGUGACGGUAUCUUACCAGAAAGGGACGGCUAACUACGUG